rnacentral:rRNA from 1 species
UACGUAGGGGGCAAGCGUUGUCCGGAUUUAUUGGGCGUAAAGAGCGUGUAGGCGGCCUGACAAGUCUGCUGUGAAAACUCGAGGCUCAACCUCGAGAUGUCGGCGGAAACUGUCUGGCUAGAGUCCGGAAGAGGAGAGUGGAAUUCCUGGUGUAGCGGUGAAAUGCGCAGAUAUCAGGAGGAACACCGAUGGCGAAGGCAGCUCGCUGGGACGUGACUGACGCUGAGACGCGAAAGCGUGGGGAGCAAACAGG